CAGCCGGCCACGGUAAAACGGAGGGGGCUAGCGUUGUUCGGAAUUACUGGGCGUAAAGCGCACGUAGGCGGCUUGGUAAGUUAGAGGUGAAAGCCCGGAGCUCAACUCCGGAAUUGCCUUUAAGACUGCCGAGCUAGCAGGUGAGAGAGGUAAGUGGAAUUCCGAGUGUAGAGGUGAAAUUCGUAGAUAUCCGGAAGAACACCAGUGGCGAAGGCGGCUUACUGGCUCAUACUGGACGCUGAGGUGCGAAAGCGUGGAGAGCAAACAGGAUUAGAUACCCGCGUAGUCCCUGUCUCUUAUU
rnacentral:rRNA from 1 species